CCAACCCCUCUCUCAUCCGCCUCUCUCUGCGCCUCUCCUCUCCCUCUCCCUGCAUCGCUCCUCUAUCUGUGCCUCUCCCUCUCUCUCUACGCCUCUCCCUCUCAAAAAGGAUGGAUGGAGUAGAUUUCAGACAAACAUAUCGGUGGGCCCACCCAGCAUCCUUGCGCAGGAACUUCCUCCUCUCUCUUCCUCUCUAUCUUUCUUCCUGCUCUCUCUCUCUCUAGCAGUCUCCCUAACCUUUCUUGUGUGUCUUUGAUCCACGAACGCCCUGCCCACGCACGCCCUUACUCUCUCUCUCUCUGAAGCUCGGUUGAAGACUAUUUGUCGAACGUGAGGACACAUGGCGAAAAUCUGGUGACUCGCCUAAUGGAAAGGGUGGAUCUGGCAGCAUGUGUCAACCGACUGCCAGACAAUUCCUGGAGCAACUGUAUACUAUGUCCAAAAUAUGUGAGAUCUGUUCUAGAUUCAAUGGGAUGUAUCAGGUGAUAUACUAGAAGAAUCUUCAACUAGAACAAUGUCUCUAAGUUUAAAGACAUUGUUUGAGCAGCUUGCAGUGGAAGUUGAGCCUAGUACCUCAGAAGCAUUGGAUCAAGAGAGAGAAGAAGUGUUCCCAGAUAUACCAAAUGAAGUUACCCAAGCAAGGUCAGCCUAAGCGACAACUUCUUACAACUGGAUGGAGUGUGUUUGUAAGUGCAAAGAGGCUUGUUGCAAGAAAGAAAAGAAUCAGUUACUCCUGGGAAUCCGGUGUGCUAAUCGGCCACAAACAGUCAUGUCAGUUUUAUCAAGUGAUAGCAUGCACAUAGGGCUCCUUGCUGCAGCAGCUCAUGCAGCCACCACAAAUAGUCAUUUCACUAUUUUUUAUAACCCAAGGGCAAGCCCAUCUAAAUUUGUCACACCUCUAGCCAAAUAUGCUAAAGCAGUCUACCACACUCGUGUUUUAGUUGGCAUGCGCUUUCAGAUGCUAUUUGAGAUAGAAGAGUCAAGUGUGCGUCGAUUGUGAUCCCUAUCUACCAUUUUUACUAGAUGCUUGCAAUGAUGAGAGCCCUGAUGUUUGACAGGUCUGCACUUGGACCAUUGAGUUUUCUGGGAUCAUAUAUAAGCUAAAUUUUUUAUUUUUAGGCUGUUGUUUAUGGAAUUAGAGUUUGUGCAGAGUUUGGUGGAUCUGUGUUUAAACCUCUUGUGGGAGAGGCUCUUUCCAGGCUAAAUUUUGUUAUAAGGUAGCAUAAUGUGAUGGCAUAUGACAAUGUUGUCUCAGCUUUGGGGAAAAUUUGCCAAUUCCAUCGUGACAGUAUAGAUGCAGCUCAGUGAGAUGAUAGGAGUUGGCCAUGAAUACAUGGAAGAGUUCUUCGGUUGUUGCGAAUCCGUUUUGGCUGAAGAUGGUUUGUUUGUCCUACAGGUUACAUACUAUCUAUUAUAAUUUUUCUUAAUUAUGGUUUGAUUUGAAUUAUCUGAAAAGAAAGGUGUACCUGUAGUAGUCCAAUCAAAUCGCCCCACUUACCAUUUUCUCCUUAUUGAAUUGAAUUGUUACCAAUUUUGUGAAUGGGAUUCUUAUUAAAUAAUCAUUUGAAUUAUUUUUUGAAUGACUAUCAGGUGUAAUACCAUUUUGUGAAUAUGAAUUAUUUUUUGAAUGACUAUCAGGUGUAAAAGAAAGGUUACCAAUUUUGUGAAUGUGAAUUAUUUUUUCCUUAUUUUUUUAGUUCCAAAGUUAUUUGGGUUUUUUUUUUUUUUUUUUUUUGUCUAAUACCAUCCCUUGCACUUGCAUUAAGCACUUCUGCGGGCAUUUUCAAGUUUUGUAUCUUUUACAGCAUACAUGGCCGACUCCAAUGGAGAUGGUUAUAGCAAAACUGAAGAUGUUAAUGCAACUGACAAUCAUGGUUUUUUUUCCCCUCUACCACAACUUGACAGUCAUUGAAAUCAACUGAUUCAGGAAGGGCUCAAAAGAAGGUUGAACAAGAGCAAAUACUAAGCAGCCAAUGCAAGGCAAGGCAUAGCCAACAGUUGAAGUUUCGGGUAAUUUCUUUUGUAUGGGUCCUAGUUUAGGAGGGGGAAGUGUUUAGUUAGGAGGGUUAAGGUGAAUUUGAGUGGGCCACUUGGGUCAUUUCCUCUUUUAUUGAAUUAAGUUGUUACCAAUUUUGUGAAUAGGAUUCUUAUCAAACAAUAGUGUGAAUUAUUUUUUGAAUGACUAUCAGGUGCAAGAUUAAAAUAAUAAUAAUAAUUUAUUGAUAUUUUUUUAU